AUUGAACGCUGGCGGCGUGCCUAACACAUGCAAGUCGAGCGGUAACAGGUGUAGCAAUACAUGCUGACGAGCGGCGGACGGGUGAGUAACGCUUGGGAAUCUGCCUGUUAGUGGGGGACAACCCGGGGAAACUCGGGCUAAUACCGCAUACGCACUACGGUGGAAAGCCGGGGACCGCAAGGCCUGGCGCUAACAGAUGAGCCCAAGUCGGAUUAGCUAGUUGGUAGGGUAACGGCCACCAAGGCGACGAUCCGUAACUGGUCUGAGAGGACGACCAGUCACACCGGAACUGAGACACGGUCCGGACUCCUACGGGAGGCAGCAGUGGGGAAUAUUGGACAAUGGGCGAAAGCCUGAUCCAGCGACGCCGCGUGGGUGAAGAAGGCCUGCGGG
rnacentral:rRNA from 1 species